GAUCAAACAGAGCUGAAAUUAAUCAUGAAGCUAAAUAACAUUAACACAAGCUCACACAUUAAAUUUCAUGAUUUUUGGAUAUACCCAUAAUUUACUAAAAAUCAUGGAAGAUUUAUUUAUAAUUAAACAGGGGCAAUUUUCAUAUAUAUACAAACUGCCAGAAAAUGGAAUCUAAAAUUUUUCAUGUGUUCUACUCAUUUUAAGAAAGCCAUACAAAAAUUCUCAUAAUUUUUGGAUUAGCACAAAAUUUACUACACAAUAUCAAACAUAACUCAAAAACUGC
rnacentral:lncRNA from 1 species